rnacentral:rRNA from 1 species
GACGAACGCUGGCGGCGUGCUUAACACAUGCAAGUCGAACGGAAAGGCCCUGCUUUUGUGGGGUGCUCGAGUGGCGAACGGGUGAGUAACACGUGAGUAACCUGCCCUUGACUUUGGGAUAACUUCAGGAAACUGGGGCUAAUACCGGAUAGGAGCUCCUGCUGCAUGGUGGGGGUUGGUAAGUUUCGGCGGUUGGGGAUGGACUCGCGGCUUAUCAGCUUGUUGGUGGGGUAGUGGCUUACCAAGGCUUUGACGGGUAGCCGGCCUGAGAGGGUGACCGGCCACGUUGGGACUAUGGUACGACCCGGACUCCUACGGGAGGCGGCAGUGGGGAAUAUUGCAAAAUGGGCGGAAGCCUGAUGCAGCAACGCCGCGUGCGGGAUGACGGCCGUCGGGUUGUAAACCGCUUUCGCCUGUGACGAAGCGUGAGUGACGGUAAUGGGUAAAGAAGCUCCGGGUGACUACGUG